UACGUAGGGAGCAAGCGUUGUCCGGAAUCAUUGGGCGUAAAGCGCGCGUAGGUGGCCCCGUAAGUCCGCUGUGAAAGUCAAAGGCUCAACCUUUGAAAGCCGGUGGAUACUGUGGGGCUAGAGUACGGAAGAGGCGAGUGGAAUUCCUGGUGUAGCGGUGGAAUGCGCAGAUAUCAGGAGGAACACCAAUAGCGAAGGCAGCUCGCUGGGACGGUAUUGACGCUGAGGCGCGAAAGCGUGGGGAGCAAAACAGG
rnacentral:rRNA from 1 species